rnacentral:rRNA from 1 species
GACGAACGCUGGCGGCGUGCUUAACACAUGCAAGUCGAACGCUGAAGCUCAGCUUUUGUUGGGUGGAUGAGUGGCGAACGGGUGAGUAACACGUGAGUAACCUGCCCCUUCUUUGGGAUAACGCCCGGAAACGGGUGCUAAUACUGGAUAUUCACUGGUCUUCGCAUGGGGGUUGGUGGAAAGGGUUUUUCUGGUGGGGGAUGGGCUCGCGGCCUAUCAGCUUGUUGGUGGGGUGAUGGCCUACCAAGGCUUUGACGGGUAGCCGGCCUGAGAGGGUGACCGGUCACAUUGGGACUGAGAUACGGCCCAGACUCCUACGGGAGGCAGCAGUGGGGAAUAUUGCACAAUGGGCGCAAGCCUGAUGCAGCGACGCCGCGUGAGGGAUGGAGGCCUUCGGGUUGUGAACCUCUUUCGCUCAUGGUCAAGCCGCAACAAUGGUUGUGGUGAGGGUAGUGGGUAAAGAAGCGCCGGCUAACUACGUG